rnacentral:lncRNA from 1 species
GGGGUGUUGGGUAAGAAGGUUGAGAAAUGUCUUUGGUUGCUAGUAUAGCUUUCCCCCUUGUUAUACUGGGUAGAACAGGUAAAAUAAAGGAAUAAACAAAGUACUUUGAAAGCCUCUAUGUAUGGAAGUCAUGAGGAAAUAAAAGAGAAUAGCCUGAUCAGGAAUGAUUUCUCAGAAGAAGUUGCAUUUCACCUUAUUUUUCCACUCUACAUAUGACAAAACUGAGGCUCAGAAAUUGACUCCUUUAAGGAAAUUAUAGCUGGUGUUUCUCCAUCUCAUUAUGCAUAUUCUUUUACAUUGUUGUGUCAGUGGUCAAACCUGAAGUUCUCUAGUCAGAAACAAAUAUUUUUCAAGUUUUAACUAUAUGCUUUUUUAAAUAGAGAUUUAUGGGCUAUCUGUGAUGAAAAUAUAAGCAGACUAACACUAGUUAGUUUGUGCCAGCAUAAUUGUUUUUUUUUUUUUUUUUUUUUUCCCAAAAUCCCCAUUGGCUGUUUUGGAAAAAGAAUCUUAUUUAGAUGCCAUAUGCUAUUUAUCUAGACAAAGAUCGUAACUCUGCCAGCAGAAAUGAAAACUCUAUUGUUUCCAGAGACCAAGAUGAAAGCUUUCUGUGGGAAAUUUUACUCUCUAAUUACAGGCUGACAUUUGUUGAAAUUUUCUCUACAGAAGUUCAAAGACACAUUGGAUUGGAGACCCACAUACCCUCCACACAGGUAACAUCACUCAUACCCUAUGUGUAUAUUAGGGUGUGUUUAUCCAAGAAGAUUUAUGUAGGACUUUUCCUGGUACUUCCUGAAGUAUCAUCUCAACUGGAUGAUUUGGAAUGUAAACAUUCAGGCCCUGAACACACCUAGGGUAGUUAAUGCCUUUGAAAUACUAGAAAGGAGAGAGGACCUUGUUUGUUUGUCUUUUAAUCUACUAUUAAGAGCACACAGGAAACUAUCUUUUAAGUUAAUGAUUUUCCUCAAGAAUUAACUCUUUCUGAUUCCCAGAUUUUUAAGGUGUAGUUUCGCUUCCUAGCACUAGUCAAAGGCUUAGCUCAUGGUCUCUCUUUUCUCCCUCUCUGUGCAGGCUCUAUACAUGGUAAGAUUAAUUCCAUUAGGGUAUUUCAGCAUUACUGCCACUCACUUACUUUCCUGGGUGGGUAUCUUUGCUUCAUUGCAAAUCUCAAAAGAUUCUCCUGCUUUCUUGUAGUAUUUUUCAUUUCUUGAAAUAAU